GCAAACUUGGUCAUUUAGAGGAAGUAGAAGUCGUAACAAGGUUUCCGUAGGUGAACCUGCGGAAGGAUCAUUAUUGAAUAAACUUGGUUGGGUUGUAGCUGGCUUUUCAAAGCAUGUGCACGCCUACCAUCUUUAUCUAUCAUCCACCUGUGCACCUUUUGUAGUCUUGUGAAAUGAGAACGGCAGACCCUCGUAAGGUGUAUUAGCCUUUGGAUGUGAGGGGAAUACUGCUUGAAAGCGCAUCCCUCUCUAAAAUGCCUGUGAUCACUUCUGGACUAUGUCUUUACAUAUACCAUUUAAUGUGUUGCAGAAUGUAUCAUUUGGGACUCAGUGCCUUUAAAACACAAUACAACUUUCAGCAACGGAUCUCUUGGCUCUCGCAUCGAUGAAGAACGCAGC
rnacentral:misc_RNA from 1 species